rnacentral:rRNA from 1 species
GAUGAACGCUGGCGGCGUGCCUAACACAUGCAAGUCGAACGGUCUUACAGGACGGAAAGAGGAUUUAUCUGAAUUCCGACCUGUGAGAUAGUGGCGGACGGGUGAGUAACGCGUGGGCAACCUGCCUUUCACUGGGGGAUAACACAGGGAAACCUGUGCUAAUACCGCAUGACAUAUCGACGGGGGCAUCCUGUUGAUAUCAAAAGGAGCAAUCCGGUGGAAGAUGGGCCCGCGUCCAAUUAGCUGGUUGGUGGUGUAACGGACCACCAAGGCGACGAUUGGUAGCCGAACUGAGAGGUUGAUCGGCCACAUUGGGACUGAGACACGGCCCAGACUCCUACGGGAGGCAGCAGUGGGGAAUAUUGCGCAAUGGGGGGAACCCUGACGCAGCAACGCCGCGUGAAGAGAAGCUUCGGUUGUAACUUCUUGUAUGUAGGGACGAAGGAAACGUAGGAACGGUACCGUCACGGAACGAAGCCGACGGCCGUAACUAACGUCGCCACGCACGCCGCGGUAAAACG